GGCCGCCUGGCGUAAUGGCAACGCGUCUGACUACGAUAAGUUCGUCCGAAAGAGACACUUCGAGCCAUCAGGAGAUUGCAGGUUCGACCCCUGCGGUGGUCA